ensembl:lncRNA
AACCACCUGCCUCUCAUUGCACUCCACGAGGAUCCUACCUGUUACGCGAAUGCAGUAAGAAGGAAAGUCCCAGGUUAUCCAUGGCUGUGCUGCGGUCCGUGCUGGCCCUGUCUCUCGCUCUGGUGCUGGGUCUGGUGCUGAGUGUCUGCAGGUCAGUGUGUGGCAACCCAGGGGUACCCCAAGAACUGGACUACUACGGUUCCUCUCUGGAUCAACCGUCUGCUGGAGGAACCCUCUGUCCUCAGCCUGAGGGGCUGCAUGGACCGAGCAUGGUACUGUAUUUAACCUUGAACCUUUAUGGACUGCGUGGUACUUUCUUUCGAUAUAUGGACUAAUCAUGCAACUUCAAUUAGAUAUAUGGACUAAGCAUGGCACUUUAAUUAGAUACACUACCGUUCAAAAGUUUGGGGUCAUCAAGAAAUGUCCUUGUUUUUGAAAGAAAAACACAUUUUUUUUGUCCAUUGAAAUAACAUCAAAUUGAUCAGAAAUACAGUGUAGACAUUUUUAAUGUUGUGAAUGACUAUUGCAGCUGGAAAC